GAGGGGUGCAAGCGUUGCUCGGAAUUAUUGGGCGUAAAGGGUAGGUAGGUGGUCUCAUUUGUCUGGGGUGGAAGCCUUGAGCUUAACUCAAGAAGUGCCCCGGAAACGGUGAGACUAGAGUCUUGGAGAGGGUCGUGGAAUUCCCGGUGUAGCGGUGAAAUGCGUAGAGAUCGGGAGGAACACCAGAGGCGAAGGCGGCGACCUGGACAAGUACUGACACUCAACUACGAAAGCGUGGGGAGCAAACAGGAUUAGAUACCCUGGUAGUCCACGCCGUAAACGAUGAGUACUAGGCUUUGUGGGUCUUGACCCCUGCAGAGCCGGCGCUAACGCAAUAAGUACUCCGCCUGGGAAGUACGGUCGCAAGACUA
rnacentral:rRNA from 1 species